GACGAACGCUGGCGGCGUGCCUAAUACAUGCAAGUCGAGCGGAUGAAAGAGGAGCUUGCUCCUCUAGAUUCAGCGGCGGACGGGUGAGUAACACGUGGGCAACCUGCCCUGUAGAUUGGGAUAACUCCGGGAAACCGGGGCUAAUACCGAAUAAUCCUUCGGACCUCAUGGUCCGAUGUUGAAAGACGGUUUCGGCUGUCACUACAGGAUGGGCCCGCGGCGCAUUAGCUAGUUGGUGAGGUAACGGCUCACCAAGGCCACGAUGCGUAGCCGACCUGAGAGGGUGAUCGACCACACUGGGACUGAGACACGGCCCAGACUCCUACGGGAGGCAGCAGUAGGGAAUCUUCCACAAUGGACGAAAGUCUGAUGGAGCAACGCCGCGUGAGUGAAGAAGGUUCUCGGAUCGUAAAACUCUGUUGUGAGGGAAGAACAAGUACCGGAGUAACUGCCGGUGCCUUGACGGUACCUCAUUAGAAAGCCACGGCUAACUACGUGCCAGCCGCCGCAGUAACAC
rnacentral:rRNA from 1 species